UGGGUAACACUAACUGGAGGACCGAACCGACUAAUGUUGAAAAAUUAGCGGAUGACCUGUGGCUGGGGGUGAAAGGCCAAUCAAACCGGGAGAUAGCUGGUUCUCCCCGAAAGCUAUUUAGGUAGCGCCUCGUGAAUUCAUCUCCGGGGGUAGAGCACUGUUUCGGCUAGGGGGCCAUCCCGGCUUACCAACCCGAUGCAAACUGCGAAUACCGGAGAAUGUUAUCACGGGAGACACACGGCGGGUGCUAACGUCCGUCGUGAAGAGGGAAACAACCCAGACCGCCAGCUAAGGUCCCAAAGUCAUGGUUAAGUGGGAAACGAUGUGGGAAGGCCCAGACAGCCAGGAUGUUGGCUUAGAAGCAGCCAUCAUUUAAAGAAAGCGUAAUAGCUCACUGGUCGAGUCGGCCUGCGCGGAAGAUGUAACGGGGCUAAACCAUGCACCGAAGCUGCGGCAGCGACACUGUGUGUUGUUGGGUAGGGGAGCGUUCUGUAAGCCUGUGAAGGUGUGUCGUGAGGCAUGCUGGAGGUAUCAGAAGUGCGAAUGCUGACAUAAGUAACGAUAAAGCGGGUGAAAAGCCCGCUCGCCGGAAGACCAAGGGUUCCUGUCCAACGUUAAUCGGGGCAGGGUGAGUCGACCCCUAAGGCGAGGCCGAAAGGCGUAGUCGAUGGGAAACGGGUUAAUAUUCCCGUACUUGGUGUUACUGCGAAGGGGGGACGGAGAAGGCUAUGUUGGCCGGGCGACGGUUGUCCCGGUUUAAGCGUGUAGGUGUGUGUUCCAGGUAAAUCCGGUUCACUUUAACACUGAGGCGUGACGACGAGGCACUACGGUGCUGAAGCAACAAAUGCCCUGCUUCCAGGAAAAGCCUCUAAGCAUCAGGUAACAUCAAAUCGUACCCCAAACCGACACAGGUGGUCAGGUAGAGAAUACCAAGGCGCUUGAGAGAACUCGGGUGAAGGAACUAGGCAAAAUGGUGCCGUAACUUCGGGAGAAGGCACGCUGACACGUAGGUGAAGUGAUUUACUCAUGGAGCUGAAGUCAGUCGAAGAUACCAGCUGGCUGCAACUGUUUAUUAAAAACACAGCACUGUGCAAACACGAAAGUGGACGUAUACGGUGUGACGCCUGCCCGGUGCCGGAAGGUUAAUUGAUGGGGUCAGCGCAAGCGAAGCUCCUGAUCGAAGCCCCGGUAAACGGCGGCCGUAACUAUAACGGUCCUAAGGUAGCGAAAUUCCUUGUCGGGUAAGUUCCGACCUGCACGAAUGGCGUAAUGAUGGCCAGGCUGUCUCCACCCGAGACUCAGUGAAAUUGAACUCGCUGUGAAGAUGCAGUGUACCCGCGGCAAGACGGAAAGACCCCGUGAACCUUUACUAUAGCUUGACACUGAACAUUGAGCCUUGAUGUGUAGGAUAGGUGGGAGGCUUUGAAGUGUGGACGCCAGUCUGCAUGGAGCCGACCUUGAAAUACCACCCUUUAAUGUUUGAUGUUCUAACGUGGACCCGUUACCCGGGUUGCGGACAGUGUCUGGUGGGUAGUUUGACUGGGGCGGUCUCCUCCUAAAGAGUAACGGAGGAGCACGAAGGUUGGCUAAUCCUGGUCGGACAUCAGGAGGUUAGUGCAAUGGCAUAAGCCAGCUUGACUGCGAGCGUGACGGCGCGAGCAGGUGCGAAAGCAGGUCAUAGUGAUCCGGUGGUUCUGAAUGGAAGGGCCAUCGCUCAACGGAUAAAAGGUACUCCGGGGAUAACAGGCUGAUACCGCCCAAGAGUUCAUAUCGACGGCGGUGUUUGGCACCUCGAUGUCGGCUCAUCACAUCCUGGGGCUGAAGUAGGUCCCAAGGGUAUGGCUGUUCGCCAUUUAAAGUGGUACGCGAGCUGGGUUUAGAACGUCGUGAGACAGUUCGGUCCCUAUCUGCCGUGGGCGCUGGAGAACUGAGGGGGGCUGCUCCUAGUACGAGAGGACCGGAGUGGACGCAUCACUGGUGUUCGGGUUGUCAUGCCAAUGGCACUGCCCGGUAGCUAAAUGCGGAAGAGAUAAGUGCUGAAAGCAUCUAAGCACGAAACUUGCCCCGA
rnacentral:rRNA from 2 species